GACUUGGGUUAUUUUACACUCCAUCCUCAUAAUCUUUUGUGCCAUUAGUAAUCAGUAAUGUAUCAAUCUCUAAGAACAUAGAACAGUACAGGCCCUUUGACCCAAACAUACUUUAAACAUACUUCCAUUAUUAUCUGGCUUUCUCCAUGUCUCCUCACUGGGGACUCACUUCAGUCUUAGCAGUGGCCACGACUCCUAUAGCUGCUGGUCUGCUGAGCUGUUAGCUAUCUGAUUGGCCAUUUCUUAGAGAUGGCAUCCUCCCAUAAUUGGGUGGAGGUCAUAACCUCAGGCAGUUAACUGCUUGUUGUUAACUGCCUGAAGAUAGUAAGAUAUAGUCAUAGCUUCCCAGCUCAGCAGAGGUGGGUUCAUUCCUGACUUUUCAUCUGGUGAGCAGAACUUUAAACGUACAUCAGUUGUAUUUUUCAGAUCUCCAACGUCCACAGUUCUUGGUUUCAAUUUAGGCAUUAAUUAAGUACCUUGAACACAUAAAAAGGAAGACAUCUAGAGCACUUGGUAUUGGGGAGGUCAGUUCAAUUGAUAGCCCUAUGCCCAGCCCCUGGUUGGUCACUGUAGCUACCCACCUAAGAAGGCAAAGGUGGAUGCAGAAGGACCAGGGUAGACAGUAAACCCAGGUGCAGCAGCAAGCCUGCAGAGGACGAGGAGCACCCAGAAUAAGGAGAGGCCUCUGCCUGCAUGUGACCAUGGCUCAUGAAACCACUGUGCAAUGCCCUGACUGAUGCAGAGCACAGAUUUGACAUGCCCAUCCUUCAACCACGUCCAUGGUCAAGUACAGUAUAGGGCUAUUGAAAAUGUAGGUCUACUGUUUCAACCGUACCGAGGGGACCUUCCAGUGUGGUCUAGACAGCAUAUGCUACUUUGUUCUGGUGUGCUGGGUUUUGUACAAUUGGACCAAGCAACAAUGUGAUAUGCUGAUGCUGAGAAACUGGGACAACAGGAGCAGUAUUCCAAGAAGGAAGACAAAGACGUUAGAAUGAAGAAAGCUGAUGUUGGCCAUGGUAGAGUUCAACUGCACUGGGCACUAUAAGCCAGAUCAAACCUUACUGGCACCACGUUUAAGAGAUGACAGCGGGGUGAAACAGGCAAUCAUGGACAUAAAAUUGCUCAUGAUAUGGAAACCUGGUUUAGUGAGAGGGUGAACUUCAGUCUUUAUUGAUUUUAUCUGUGUUCCUUUUUGCUCACUGUAAU